rnacentral:rRNA from 1 species
AUUGAACGCUGGCGGCAGGCCUAACACAUGCAAGUCGGGCGAGCGGCGGACGGGUGAGUAAUGUAUGGGGAUCUGCCUGAUUGAGGGGGAUAACUACUGGACACGGUAGCUAAUACCGCAUACCAUCAGAUGAACCCAUAUGGGAUUAGCUUGUAGGUAAGGUAACGGCUUACCUAGGCGACGAUCCCUAGCUGGUCUGAGAGGAUGAACAGGCACACUGGAAUGGAGACGAGGCACGGACUCCUAUGGGAGGGAGGAGAGGGGAGUAGUGCACAAGGGGAGCAAGGCUGGUACAGACAUGCCGAGUGGAUGAAGAAAGAAAUCGGGUUGGAGAGUACUUUCAGUCGGAUAGAGUUACCGAAAGAAGAAGCACCGGCUAACUCCGUGCCAGCAGCCGCGGUAAUAC